GGCCUUCGGGUUGUAAAGCUCUUUCGGCCGGGAAGAAAUCGUGUUCUCUAACAUAGGACAUGGAUGACGGUACCCGGACUAAGAAGCACCGGCUAACUACGUGCC
rnacentral:rRNA from 1 species